GUCGAACGGAAACGAAACUAGCUUGCUAGUAGGCGUCGAGUGGCGGACGGGUGAGUAACGCGUAGGAAUCUGCCUGAUAGUGGGGGAUAGCCCGAAGAAAUUCGGAUUAAUACCGCAUAAUCUAUUCGUAGUAAAGUGGGGGACUUUCGAGCCUCACGCUAUCAGAUGAGCCUGCGUAAGAUUAGCUAGUUGGUAAGGUAACGGCUUACCAAGGCGACGAUCUCUAGCUGUUCUGAGAGGAAGAUCAGCCACACUGGGACUGAGACACGGCCCAGACUCCUACGGGAGGCAGCAGUGGGGAAUAUUGCACAAUGGGGGAAACCCUGAUGCAGCCAUGCCGCGUGUGUGAAGAAGGCCUUCGGGUUGUAAAGCACUUUCAGUUGUGAGGAAAAGUUAGUAGUUAAUACCUGCUAGCCGUGACGUUAACAACAGAAGAAGCACCGGCUAACUCCGUGCCAGCAGCCGCGGUAAUACGGAGGGUGCGAGCGUUAAUCGGAAUUACUGGGCGUAAAGCGCACGCAGGCGGUUUGUUAAGCUAGAUGUGAAAGCCCCGGGCUCAACCUGGGAUGGUCAUUUAGAACUGGCAGACUAGAGUCUUGGAGAGGGGAGUGGAAUUCCAGGUGUAGCGGUGAAAUGCGUAGAUAUCUGGAGGAACAUCAGUGGCGAAGGCGACUCCCUGGCCAAAGACUGACGCUCAUGUGC
rnacentral:rRNA from 1 species